GAUGAACGCUGGCGGCGUGCCUAAUACAUGCAAGUCGAGCGAACAGAUGAGGAGCUUGCUCCUCUGACGUUAGCGGCGGACGGGUGAGUAACACGUGGAUAACCUUCCUCUAAGACUGGGAUAACUUCGGGAAACCGGUGCUGAUACCGGCUCAUAUAUCGUACCGCUUGAUUCAAUAGUGCAAGACGCUUUUGCUGUCACUUAUAGAUGGAUCCGCGCCGCAUUAGCUAGUUGGUAAGGUCACGGCUUACCAAGGCAACGAUGCGUAGCCGACCUGAGAGGGUGAUCGGCCACACUGGAACUGAGACACGGUCCAGACUCCUACGGGAGGCAGCAGUAGGGAAUCUUCCGCAAUGGGCGAAAGCCUGACGGAGCAACGCCGCGUGAGUGAUGAAGGUCUUCGGGUCGUAAAGCUCUGUUAUUAGGGAAGAACAAAUGUGUAAGUAACUAUGCACGUCUUGACGGUACCUAAUCAGAAAGCCACGGCUAACUACGUG
rnacentral:rRNA from 1 species